rnacentral:rRNA from 1 species
UCUGGUAUGAAAGGUUUGACGAGAUAUUAACUGUUUCAUAGAAAUUUAUAAUAGAAUUUUAUUUUUUAGUCAAAAAGCUAAAAUAAAAUUAAAAGACGAGAAGACCCUAUAAAUCUUUAUAUAUAAAUUAUUAGAAUUUUGUAGAUUUUUUUUAUUAUAAUAAUUAAUUAUAUUUUAUUGGGGUGAUAUUAAAAUUUAAUAAACUUUUAAUUUUUAAAACCAUUAAUUUAUGAAUAAUUGAUCCGUUAAUAACGAUUAAAAAAAUAAGUUACCUUAGGGAUAACAGCGA